GUCAAUAGCCAUAUCACCCUGAACACGCCCAAUCUUGUCUGAUCUCAGAAGCUAAGCAGGGUCGGGCCUGCUUAGUACUUGGAUUGGAGAAAUGUUUUAACAAGCUUCUUGCUACUAAGU
rnacentral:rRNA from 1 species